AAAGACAAAUAUACAAAUGAAAUUAUAUAAGUAGUGGAAUAAUAUACUGAAUUUUUGAGUAGUCUUGGCAUGGAGAAGGUUUGGUCUAAAUAUAAUAUAAAACAUAAUGGUCAUAAGGAAAAAUUAAUAAAUAUGACUAUUUAGAAAAGGAAUGUUUUGAAUAAAAAAUACAAUCAACAAAGUCAAGGACAAUCAAGAGUCUGAAACAAAAAUGGGAAACAUCCAUGAUGUAAAAAUUCUAAUUCCUGUAGUAUAUAUAGAUGGAGCUUUCAGAAAUCUAUAAAGACCAAUUAUUCAUAAAGGAGUAAGCAAAGAAAUAUGAAUGCACCCAUCACAACCACAAAAUAAUAUCCAAUCUUAUUGCUGACUCAACAAAUGCAAAUUAAAAUAUCAAUGAGUUACUUUUUUGUUCUUGUUACUCAGGGAGGCUUUAUCACUGAGCCAAAUCCCUAGCCUCCCCCCAACACCUUUUUUUUUUUUCAAAUUUUGAGACAGGAUCUCAAAGUUGAUUAAGCUAGCCUGAAUUUGUGAUCCUCCUGCCUCAGCCUCUAAGUUGUUGGGGCAUGCUCCAGUGCACCCAGCUAGUUACUAUUUUUAACCCACAAAAUUGCAAAGUUUUGAAAGUAUAAUAAUAAAACACCUUGUGUUAGCUUUCUGUCAUUGUGACAAAACACCUGAAAUAAUCAACUCAUAAGAAGAAAAGGUUUAUUUUGGCUCGUUAUUUCAGAGGUUUCAGUCCAUGUUUGCUUGGCCCUGUUGCUCUGGGCCUGUGGCAGCUCAGCACAUCACUGUGGGAGCAUGUGGCAGAAGAGACCCAUUUCUAUCAUGGCAGCUGGGAAGCAAAGAGAGAAACAGAAAGGGG
rnacentral:lncRNA from 1 species